AGUAACUCUUGGAAGCUCUAGUAAAUUAUAUAUGCAGUGUGUAAUACAUAUAGGUAUGUGUGAUUUAUGACUAGAUAGGGCAAAAGGGCACACAAUGUUCCCAACAUCCAUAAAUUCUCUUGUGGCCAGGCUUGUGUGAAUCAAAACAUAACCGAGAAGUUUACAGAGGCUCCAUGGAUCACAAUUGGAACGUGCCUGCCUUCUUCAUUGAAAGAAGCUUUAAAUAUGCCAGAAUGCAUAUAGCAGCAAGACCAUAAGAACAGCUGUUCAUCAUCUGACAUUUUCAGCAGAAGAUGUUUAUUCCUCACAUAACUCAUCCGAGUUGCUAUGAUACCCUCUGCACCUGUCCAAAAUCUCACUUACAGUACAUAAGACAGGACAUUUCUCUUGCAUAGUACAUAUAUAUUGUGAAUGUAAU